GACGAACGCUGGCGGCGUGCUUAACACAUGCAAGUGGAGCGACGAACCGGGCUUCGGCCCGGGGCAAAGCCGCGAACGGGUGAGUAUCACGUGGGUAACCUGCCCCGAUGACCGGGACAACCCGAGGAAACUCGGGCUAAUACCGGAUGUGCUCCUCGCACACCAGUACGAGGAGCAAAGGAAGCUUCGGCCUCCGCAUUGGGAUGGGCCCGCGGCCCAUUAGCUUGUUGGUGAGGUAAAGGCUCACCAAGGCGACGAUGGGUAGCUGGUCUGAGAGGACGAUCAGCCACACUGGGACUGAGACACGGCCCAGACUCCUACGGGAGGCAGCAGUGGGGAAUCUUGCGCAAUGCGCGAAAGCGUGACGCAGCAACGCCGCGUGAGGGAAGAAGGCCUUCGGGUUGUAAACCUCUUUCAGGAGGGACGAAGGUUCAGGCGCGAAUAGCGUCCUGGACUGACGGUACCUCCAGAAGAAGCCCCGGCUAACUUCGUGCCAGCCGCCGCAGUAAAAC
rnacentral:rRNA from 1 species